rnacentral:rRNA from 1 species
CCUACGGGAGGCAGCAGUGAGGAAUAUUGGACAAUGGGCGCAAGCCUGAUCCAGCCAUGCCGCGUGCAGGAUGACGGUCCUAUGGAUUGUAAACUGCUUUUAUACAGGAAGAAACCCUGGUUCGUGAACCAGCUUGACGGUACUGUAAGAAUAAGGAUCGGCUAACUCCGUGCCAGCAGCCGCGGUAAUACGGAGGAUCCAAGCGUUAUCCGGAAUCAUUGGGUUUAAAGGGUCCGUAGGCGGUUUAAUAAGUCAGUGGUGAAAGCCCAUCGCUCAACGGUGGAACGGCCAUUGAUACUGUUAAACUUGAAUUAUUAGGAAGUAACUAGAAUAUGUAGUGUAGCGGUGAAAUGCUUAGAGAUUACAUGGAAUACCAAUUGCGAAGGCAGGUUACUACUAAUAUAUUGACGCUGAUGGACGAAAGCGUGGGUAGCGAACAGGAUUAGAUACCCUGGUAGUCCACGCCGUAAAACGAUGGAUACUAGACUGUUGGUAGGCAUACUCUAGUGGUCGUAAGACGAAGUAGAGUAAGUAAGUACCGUACCGUACGGGGUAGGUACGGUUACGGUCGUAAGAAGUUAGUUAAACGUUAAAAGGUUAAAGUUAGUACGGCGUUGAGAGAGCCGACGGACGACGACGAGGGAGGAGG